AAAGUCACUUGCUUUUCUCUCUCGAGACUCGGAAUCCAUGGCCGGAGAUGGAGAUCCAAGUCUCUGUUAAGCUCCGGUGACUCAGAUGCACAAUUUUAAAGUCUGCUUAUGAAUGUCAGAACUCAAAACAUUGCAUCUGUAGCAGAGGAGUGGGGAGAGAGAAGGAAAUGUCGCCGGUGAAAGUACCCAUGAUGCCGCCAAUAACAGCAUCCACUGGUGACGAUGACGAUGACGGCCUCGACGAGGACGAACUGCUUGGAGAGACAAUCGUGGAAGCCAUGCUCGAGAGUGAAUGGUACCAGAGAUUGAAAAUUGAAACCCUAGAAAAUUGGGGAUUUUGAAUUCAGCAGAGAGUGAAUGGGGAUCUGGAAGGGACAUCGGAGGCCUAACAAUGAAACCCUAGUCUCGUU